rnacentral:lncRNA from 1 species
GUACUAAGCGUUGUCUAUAUUCUUGAGAGAUGUCCAACCACUGCUGCUGCUGAAGCCAGCCCACGGUCGUCUUGCUAAGCUGCACGGCCUGGGCAAGAAUGUAAUCAGCGAUGGGCGGCUUCGAUCCGAACAGUGCGUUGGCGGUGGUGACGAGACCCGGGCUCUGGCUGCCAAAGGUAGCGAACGCCACCGCAUCGGUGUCCCCGAUGUUGAACUGGAAGUGUAUGAGGCCCCUGGGGAACACAAACGCGUCGCCCUUCUGCAGCUUCUUCGCGAAGAGAAGGUUGCCGUUUUCCGUGUUGGAGGUGACGAAGCCGGCGUAGAGCGUUCCUUCCGCCACGUGCAGUAUCUCCGACGAUCGUGGAUGCGAGUGAGGAGGGUUGAGACCGAAGGGCGCGUAGUCGAUGCGAGACAUGGCGACGCCAAGGGAGUUGAGGCCUGGGAGUCGUUCCACGUUGACGAGAGUGAUGUUUGCGCCUAGCUCGUUGGCGGUGCUCGCGGGCUUGUCUAAGCCGGUGAAGUAGAAGUCAUCUGCCGUGACAUCCUUAGCUUUCUUGCAGGCGAAUCCGUUCACAAACACUGCAGCGUGCACGAUGAACAGGCUUUAGCAACUUGAGCAAGUACACACACGAGGACCUAACUAGCUAGCUACGAGGAUAACGAUGCCUACCGUUGGAGUCGUAGUCAGCAACGCAAAAGUCUUGGAGAGGACUCGGAUCAAAUGCCAAUGCAUGAGAGGAAGCCAGGGCAAGAAGAGCAGCGAUGAGGGUGAUCCUAGCAGCCAUCUGCACUCUCUUCGAACAAGCAAGAUGAAAUGAUGCAAGUUUCUUUGUGACUGGCCUCAGGAAUCGGGAUGUAUAUAUAGAAGGCCCCGUGGUAGUGUUCAAUUGUGAACUGGUCGAUAGAGUAUGUAUUCCGCACGGCAGUGUGCUGACUAAUUCAGCUGAUGACGACCUCGACUGCCAAUGACAACUCCCUCAGUUCCAACCUAGAUCUACCACUAACCUAAGGUUCAUGAAAGUUUUGGUUGGAUAAUAUGUCAUUUUGGAGCAUCCAACAUCGACCCUUCUGCCCCAUCAGUAUCACGUUCUUGACAUUUUUAUAUCUUGGUGGCAAUGACCAGUUAAUAGCCAAUGAAAUUUUAUCAGCCAAUGCUUCUACACUACCAAAUUUAGUAUGUAAUCGUGGUAUCAUAAUUGAGGAUAUGAGGAAGAAGUUGAGAGCAAUUUGUCUUGCUUCAUUUUAUGCGCUAAACUCCACUGCGGCAGCCGAAUGCCUUGACUCCUUGUUCACUUGUCGACCAAGGAACUUUGAAUACUGAAACUUCUUCCACGUAUGCUUCUGCAUGGAAAUUUUAGUUCCUUCGGUCAUUAAAGAGACAAAACAAGAAAGCUUAACUGAUUGAAACGCGAAAAUGAUCGGAUAUUCAUAUUCUAAUUUGAGCCCUUUCUUUCUUCUGCCCAAACGUCAAGUAAUUUUAAGUAAACGAAAACCAUCUGAUAUCGUAUUCUAAUUUGAUAGGUCCGAGCGAGCCAUUGGUUGGCAAGGACUUGAGCCCUUUCUUUCGUUCUUCUGCUCAGGUGCAAGAUGUUUAGCGAAUGCCCAUUAAUUUUCUUGGUUUUCGGAUACCUAUAUAUGCUCUUCCUUGCUGUAUCCGUCAAUCAACGUGAAGAGUAUAAGAUGAAACGUUCUAAACACAAAGAUAAGAAAGCAAUACAAGAGAUGGGACGUCGACGGUGGAAUAUUCGAAGAAGUAUUCAAUUCGGUACGUUCGAUCAUUUCCAAACGUGACUGUGAUGCAAUGAACCUAUCCAGGUUUUGAGAAAGACAUGAGACCGUCACCAGGCAAUAACUAGGGGAUUAGGCAUCAGUACUUGGCAUGUUUUAUUAUUAUUAUCGCUUGAAUCGCAUCGAAAGCUCGACUGACCUCUCAUCUUGUCAAAUCACAACAACAAGUAAAACAACGACUAUGAAGGAUCGCUGAUAUGCCAUUUACUCACAAAGAGCCGUUGACCAUGUUGCACUGGAUCACCCACUUACCUAGUGAUCAUCUCCGGGAAACUUCUCUGCCUUUCACCAAGCUCUCAUCGAGACAUAGAAUAAUGUAAUACUUUGAUGCGGAUGCAGAUGAUCGUAUGCGACGUUCAAGCUCUUCCAGAUCAGUUCUUCAUCUGAUUGUUUGAUAAACGUUAUACACUUUCAACGCGGAUCUAAUCCCUAAUAAACAAAAAGAACUCUCUGUAUUAGAUCUCGGUUAAACUGUUGCACAAGGCAUAUAAGUCAACGAUUGAGCUGACUGUAAAUUUCUUUCGGUGGUCAAAAUCACUACAAUACGACGUGCAUGAACCAUCUCCACCUCCUCUUCCUCUUCUCACUCUAUAAUCUCUCAAUCUCCCCAAAGGCUUCCUCCUCCUCUUAACGCCGUCUCCUACUCUACCUCUAACCCCCUCCUCCCACUCUAUCUCCACCACCACCAUCUUGUUCUCUCACUUUGUCUAAAAAUAAAAAAAAUAUAUAUAUUAAUUUUAAAUUAGUUUCAUUUUGAGUGUUACUAGGUCAAAUAUUCGUUUUUUUUUUCUUUAUGAAAACGAAAAAAAAGGAGAGAAAUAUGUAUUCACUUGUAGUUGGUAGGUUGGACUGAAUCUUUACCUCAAUUUUGUCUUAUGUUGGAGUCCGGCUAGUCCCUUCUAAUUAAGUUCUCGGGCGUCAUCCCGGAUGGCUGUCGACGACGAUAUUUUGACUAAGGCUACUCUAAUUAUUAGGUGACGAGAGCCAGGACGUACAGACUGAGGCUUUCAGAAUUCUCAGGAGACUGCUGACCACCCUUUUGAUUUUGCCGCGUGGCCAAGUUGCCAAGAAGUUUCUCUUGGCCAAUCAUUCAUGGUUCAGAAACCUGGACCUGCACGGUUCUAACCUUUUAUGUAUGCACGAGUUCCUUGUGCUCUAACAUUCCUCAUUCGCCAAGUACACACACAAAGAAGUAGCUAGCUACGAGGAUAACCAUGCCUACCAUUGGAGUCGCAGUCAUCAACACAAAAGUAUUGGAGAGGACUCAGAACAGAUGCCGAUGCAUGAGAGGAAGCCAGGGCAAGAAGAGCAGUUAUGAGGAUGACCCUAGCAGCCAUCUGCACUCUCUUUCGAGAGCUGUCGUAAAUUAAGAUACGAACAAGCAAUAUGAUUUGAGAAUGGCCAGCUUCAGCAGCGGGGACGUAUACAUAGAAGGCUAUUUGGUGAAUUAGUCGAUAGUGCAUGUAUUCUUCACGUUAAGAUGCUGACCAGUUAAGUGGAUAAUGACUGAUGGCAAGCUGCGAUAGUGAAUCCGCCUUCACCACUAAAUGUUAAGAUCAUUUAGUUGAAGCCUGUCGGGCUUCUGCUUGUCGGACGGCACCUCUUCCUUGUUCAAAUAUUAUUUUCAAGAAAGAAAUACUGUGUAGAGAGAGAGAGAGAGAGAGAGAGAGAGAGGGAAACAUUCACACAUUAUAAAUAUUAUUAGUGAUUAUUAUCAGUAGAUAAUAGUGACAGAUGAUAUAUUAGACUGCCGAAUUUUAUGGGGCAUAAACAAGGCGUACGUGAACCCCCCCAUCUUUUAGCACAUUAAGCAUGAUAAAUCAUGGUAUCGUUGACUAUGACGAUGCAAGAAUCAGGACGCAUAGACACAUGCAGCAGUAGUUGGCAUGUUUCUUUGGUCGUAUACAUUGCAAGCUCAUCAUCUCAUCCAAGUGCAACAAAAGUAAAACGACGACUUUGACCGAUUCCUUACGUGGCACUUAUAGCGGUGUUCCGUUUCUCACAAACGGCCAGCCAUUGACCAUUCAAGACCAAUAUAUGAUUGGGCUCGAAUGAGAAGGAUGAUCCUUGGAUGACUAACGUGCUUGUUCCGUCUUCUCGAAUGCUUUGCUUUCAUCGCAUAUGAAUUUGUUGACGGAUCAAGCAUGCACGCAACAAUAGGCACAUUUGCAUACGUCAAUGUUGUGUUUUCCAAAGAGAGGAUGCGUCAGUGUUGAUGACAUGUUGUUGUAUAUUUCAAAUUGGACUUGUGAUUCUUGCAAAUAUGUAGAAUAUUGAACGCAUAGGUAGGUGAGAGGUGGAUGAAAUGCAGCGCAUGAUAUUGUGAUAUUUUGGAUGGAUGAAAACGUUGAAGUGAAGGAAAAUAAAUAAAUCAUCAUCUUCCUCGUCUCCUCUUCAAACCCAAUCCUAUGAUUAAUUUUGGUGACUCGGAAGAAACAGUUCAAGUUUCGAUUGGUAACAUGGAAGUAUCAUCAUUUAGACGAUAAAGAAAGAAAACUAAAAUUUUUAGUUUAUGAAGACGAGAUCGUGUUUGUUCAACCUGAUUCCCGAUGAGAUUUAGCCGAGAAUAUAGCUAAGCAUAUAUCCUCAGAAGAAGAAGAAGACUGCUGAUCAUCUUCCCUUGCAAGCCCAAGUUUGCUACCAAACAUGAGUGAGUCACUUUGGACACACUUGCGGGCAUGCAAGCAAUGUUGUUUAUCUAAAAUUCUGGCUUCCAUAGAAAAAUCAUUAAUAUCAUGCAACUCCACGAUGUCAUGCUGAUUAUCCAAAAUUCUAGCCAGAAAUGCGUUGCUCUUUCAUAGAUACAUCAUUAGUGGUGUGCAACUCCACGUCGGAUACGAAAGGCAAUGCUACUGCUAGCUCGAAGAUGCAGGCAGUCUCUCCUUCCUUCCUUCUAAAGGAGACUUGUUUAUUCAUAACAUAAAUCACACAUGAGGUACUUGGAGUAAUUACAAUCAUGUAUUAUGCAAGCAUAUAUAUAUACAUACUCGACUCGACCAUACGUGAGUAUUUUGUUGGACUGUAUGCAUCUUAAGAAGCGGUACCACACCCUAAGCUUCUUGAGCGAUGUCCACCCACUGCUGCUUCUGAAGCCAGUCCACGGUGGUCUUGUCAAGUUGGACGGCCUGGGCAAGAAUGUAAUCGGGGAUGGACGGGUGCGAUCCGAACAGUGCGUUGGCUACGGUGACGAGGCCAGGGCUCUGGCUGCCAAAAGAAGCGAACGCCACCGCGUCGGUGUCCCCGACAUUGAACUGGAAGUGGAUGAGGCCCUGCGGGAACACGAACGCGUCGCCCUUCUUCAGCUUCUUCGCGAAGAGAAGGUUGCCCUGUUGGUUGUUGGACGUGACGAAGCCGGCGUAGAGCGUCCCUUCCGCCACAUGCAGUAUCUCCGACGAGUGUGGGUGCGAGUGAGGAGGGUUGAGACCGAAGGGCGCGUAGUCGAUGCGAGACAUGGCGACGCCAAGGGUGUUGAGGCCCGGGAGUCGGGCGGCGUUGACGAGAGUGAUGUUUGCGCCGAGCCGGUUG